rfam:Candidate division WOR_3 bacterium SM23_42 WORSMTZ_171, whole genome shotgun sequence.
GGGCGAAUAGCUCAGUUGGCGAGAGCGUCUCUCUUACAAGGAGAAGGUCACCCGUUCAAGUCGGGUUUCGCCCA